GACGAACGCUGGCGGCGUGCUUAACACAUGCAAGUCGAACGGAAAGGCCCCCAUCUUGGUGGGGGUGCUCGAGUGGCGAACGGGUGAGUAACACGUGGGUGAUCUGCCCUGUACUUCGGGAUAAGCUUGGGAAACUGGGUCUAAUACCGGAUAGGACCAUGGUUUAGUGUCUCAUGGUGGAAAGAUUAUUGUUUUGGUGCAGGAUGAGCUCGCGGCCUAUCAGCUUGUUGGUGGGGUAAUGGCCUACCAAGGCGUCGACGGGUAGCCGGCCUGAGAGGGUGGACGGCCACAUUGGGACUGAGAUACGGCCCAGACUCCUACGGGAGGCAGCAGUGGGGAAUAUGGCACAAUGGGCGCAAGCCUGAUGCAGCGACGCCGCGUGGGGGAUGACGGCCUUCGGGUUGUAAACUCCUUUCGUUAGGGACGAAGCCGCACUUUUUUUGGGUGUGGUGACGGUACCUUUGUUAAGAAGCACCGGCUAACUACGU
rnacentral:rRNA from 1 species